UGUUACCACUCAUGUUUUUAGCAUAAUGAUAAAAUAUUGAAAUCGAGGUAAUAUCGAUUAUGUUACCAAUUCUUCACUGUCUUAUGUAUCAAAAGUACUGAAUUUUCAGUCCUUACUUUCCAUUUAUUAUAGCAAUUAUAGCUAGUAAAUUGUACAUAAUCGUCCGAAAAUUCUCUCGCGUGCCUAUAUACUUAUUAUGAGGGACUGCGAUGUAGGUUCUGCCUUU